GUUUAAGACACAUUGCUGAAUUAUUUUUGUUGGGACAAAGAAAGGAAGGAAGUUUUUACAAGCAAUUUCCUGUGACAUUUUCUUCAAAAUAAGUAGUAGUAGACAUAGGGUUUUCUUCCCUGAGAACUCAUUAAACAAAGCAUUCCUCAGCUACCAUGUUCUACCAUGAUGGAAAAAAGGCAAAUUCUGAAGUCACUUCAGUCUGACAGAGCUUCCAGACAGUGCUACUCCUUUAAAUAGAGAAGAGCUGAAGUCCAACAACUUUGGGGAAGAAAGUGGAAUGCCUUCUGGAAUGCAUCGCCAGUCACAGUACUGAGAACAUAAAAGGUUAAAGAACACCAUUCAACUGUCUUCCAUGGGCAAGGGUAGCUAUUGAAACUUUCAAGUUUUGUUCUUGUGACAGAGUCUGCAAAGAGAACAGAAAAUGCCACAACAUGACUCCUUUCUCAUGACAGCAGCUGUAACAAAAAUGGGAAAUAAUACAAACAACCAUUCUAGUCUUGAAAUUUUUAGACAGUAGUCACUUCACCCUUCUUGGAUUCUGUAGUGAAGAGCUGUCUGGCCUGUUCUCUUUAAAUGAAAGAAUUCACUCCAUAUCCUUAAAACGAAACUAUCACAGUUAAGUUUGUUCUCUUGGAAUACAUGACGUCAUCAAAUCUGCUCUAUGAAAAGUGACCAUCUUCUAAAAGAAAAGCACACAAUACAAGACUUACAGUUUGUAUUUUUCUUGGUCUACCCUGAAAAUAAAAAUAACAGCAUUUGUCCAAGAAGGAGAGGAACAACAUUUACAAUUUGCAUUAUCAGAUACCAUUACUUCUUGAGUCAGUAUUGUAAUGUAGAAGAAUAGGCAUUGAUAAUUUUUAAAUGCUGCUAUCCAGUAGAAUAUAGAGUAUAUAACAAUAUAAUACUUUUAAGAGCAAAGGGAAACAUUUCAAAAUUAAAAAAUACAAUGCUUACUUAA